UUCUCUAAUGAAAGAAAAAUAGAAUAAAAUGAUAUAGUCAUUAGUAUCAAAAUUAUUUAAAAUGUAAGACCUUAUAUAAAUGGAAAGAAGCGAUAUCGAGUUUUUACCAUUUUGUGGAAGAGUAAUUAAAUAUUGGUGGAAGACAAUUUUUGUUAGCUUAGGUAAGAUUACAUAUUAAGAAAGAGAUUGCUGAUACACUUAAAAUAAAACCAGAAAUGAAAAGCUCUUUCAUUUUUCCAAUAUUUCGAUGUUCUAUGCUUUGUAAUAGGUAUAGAGGGUGAAUGGCAGGAUGGAGGAGGCAGGAGAAGGAGGAAGAACUGGAGGAAACAUUGGAUGUGACUUCAAGUUGUAGAUAUCCACCUAGUGGCCAUAAUGAAGCAGGUACUCAGAUUGUAAACAAACAGGAAGGAGUUACAGUAGCCACACCUACUAUGUGCCAGGCACUGUGGCAGGUGCUAGAGACACAGUGAUGGACGGAACACAGCCCCUGCUCUGCCAGAGCUGACGAUCCAGAGGGGAGUUACAUAAUAAACAAGAAAAUUUAAAAAAUACAUGUAUAUAUAAACUCAGGGUCAGGUAAAUGCUACAAAGACAAAGCAUAAUGAAGGUUAGAUAGUGUGUUUGGGUCAUCUAUCUUAGGUAAGGUGGUCUGGGAAGGCCUAUCUGGGGUGAUGACAUUGAAGCAGAAAAGUUAGGGAAUGAGUUAUGUAUAGAUUUGGGAGGAGAUCAUUCCAGGCAGAGGGAAUGCCAAGUGCAAAUGCCUUAAGUCUGGAAUUAGACUGGCGCUGUCAAGGAACAGAGGAUGGCUAACAUGGCUGAGUGAGAGUGAACAGGUGGAAAGGAGCAAAAAUGGAGUUGAAGAGGGAGAAUGGACCACAUUGUGAGGUGCUGGGCAGGUGGUUCACGGAAAGGAAUUUGGAUUUUAUUCCAAGGACGUUGGGAAGCCAUCUGGAGGGUCUGAGCAGGAAAUGACAUGAUCUGACUUAACAUUUUAAAAAAGAUUAUUCUGGCACCUGUGUUAGAAAUGGACCAGAGGGAGAGGGGUAAGAAUGGAAUACGUAGGCCAGAUCAGGGCCAUUUUGGGUAUCCAUAUGAGAGCUAAAAGUGGUGUGCAGUAGAUAAUAUGAGUAGUCAUGUCUGGAAGUGGUUUUUGGGGAGAUGCAGUAUGAAAAUAGGUCUGAAAAGACUUGCUGAUGGAUUGGAUACUGGUGAUAGAUGGCAUACAAAUAGCGCUCUUUGAAUUUCAGAAGAAGGAGCAUUUUACUUCUUGCUGGAGCAAGGUAAAGUGUUUCUGGGAGAGGUGGAGCUGAAGAGUAGCUAAGCAAAGGUGGUCGGGGGAGGGCAUGCAAAGUAGGGAGCUGCCGUGAGCGAUGACACAGAGCAGGGUGGUGAACAUUCUGUUUAGAGAAAGCAAAGUUGGAGUCGAGUUCUUAUGAGAAAAAAGGGUGAGAGAAAUCUGCAAAGGGAGGUGGGGGCAAGACUGGGAAGGGUCUUAGACGCCUUGCUAGGCAUUUCUGUGAGUAGGCAACAGGGAGCUGUAUCUAUUAGGAGUGUAUUUAGCAGCAAGUAAUGGAAAAUUUGCUAAGUACCUUAAGCAAAGAAGACUUCAUUUUUCUUUCAUAAUAAAAAACCUGGGGGAAGUCGGCUUGGACUGUGAGGCUGCUAGUGCCACAGGGACCCCGAGGCUAUUUUUCUACUUUGUCAUCAUGAAUACUAUGUUGCUUUCAUCCUCUUGCUAAUUACCUCUUGGUCUCUAGAUGGUUCUUAUGUGAUUUGGGCAUGAUCUGUACUCUGGACAGGAAGAAAGGACAAAGGAGGCAAAAGAGCAAAGUCUGUGCCAGACCUCCCUUUUUAAAAUUGUGGUUAAUAGGACAGGCGUGAGUCACCAUGCCCAGCCCAUAUUGACAUU
rnacentral:lncRNA from 1 species